UGAGCAAUCUGCCCUUCUCUUUGGAAUAAGCGUUGGAAACGACGUCUAAUGCCGAAUACGACCUCCUUUCGCAUGAUCGGAGGUGGAAAGCUCCGGCGGAGAAGGAUGAGCUCGCGGCCUAUCAGCUAGUUGGUGUGGGUAAUGGCCCACCAAGGCGACGAUGGGUAGCCGGCCUGAGAGGGUGACCGGCCACAUUGGGACUGAGACACGGCCCAGACUCCGUAGGGAGG
rnacentral:rRNA from 1 species